AUACGUAGGGGGCGAGCGUUGUCCGGAAUGAUUGGGCGUAAAGGGCGCGUAGGCGGCCUGUUAAGUCUGGAGUGAAAGUCCUGUUUUUAAGAUGGGAAUUGCUUUGGAUACUGCCGGGCUUGAGUGCGGGAGAGGUAAGUGGAAUUCCCAGUGUAGCGGUGAAAUGCGUAGAGAUUGGGAGGAACACCAGUGGCGAAGGCGACUUACUGGACUGUAACUGACGCUGAGGCGCGAAAGUGUGGGGAGCAAACAGGAUUAGAUACCCUGGUAGUCCACACUGUAAACGAUGAAUGCUAGGUGUAGGGGGUAUCGACCCCUUCUGUGCCGCAGUCAACACAAUAAGCAUUCCGCCUGGGGAGUACGGCCGCAAGGUUGAAACUCAAAUGAAUUGACGGGG
rnacentral:rRNA from 1 species